CUUACCAGCCUAAAGAGUAAGAAUUUUUAAAAACAUACCAGGACUGUAUUAAAACAUUAGUGGCUGUUUGACACAGGUUUCAAAACUUCUUUAUGUACUGGCCUUUCUUUCUUUCUUUCUUUCUCUCCUUGUCUCACCCUCUCUCACUCACUCUCUCACACACAUUCUUGCCCUCUCCUUUUCUCCAACCUUUCCCCUCCCGCCCUUCCUCUCUCUCUGUUCAAUCCUGGCAUUCUCUAUAAAGCAUCACUCUACAUCCUCCCCAUCGAAUGCAUGGGUUUUCGCCUGGUGCUCGGUUACUUUCCACUGUCCAAGACAUACCAGUCUGGAGAUGGACACAGAGUUUAUAGAUGUGAGGAGAUGCAACAGUGAAAUCGUGGACCCUAUUCAAAUUACAGAGGAGGAGCUGUUUGCUGUCUUGAGGAGAGGGUUCUUUUGAAGACCCUGACUUGGAGUUACAUGUUUCGGUUCUUUGUGGGAAUGAGACCCGCUCUCGGGGUCUCAUGACUGGCUCCAAUUCGAUAUUCCAAGAGCUCGGCCUAGAAGAUUAGCACUCCUUCGGAGUUCUGGGAUUUCAUGGCUCUGGAGGUGGGCAGACUCAUGGGUGGUGCCUCAGCAGGGAAUCGAUGUGCCAUGGGAGACAGAAGAUAGAAAGCAGCAAGCUGGCUGUGUGCCUAGAGACCCGAGUUCUUUGGGCACAGAACUUGAAAAAAGCAACGCAGCGGACUUCUAACAUCGUAAAUCAGCGAGUUGUUUGUUAUGUCACCAGUCUCACUGUGAAACAGAGACACCUCUUUUUCCUUUAUUAGGGAGAGAGAGAGCGAACCUGAGAACUGCACCAUACAGCAGGGAGAUGGUGAAUGAAGUGUACUUAGAGCACCAGAAGUAUAGGAAAAUUAAUUUUGAACACUGAACAUUCGAGACAUUUGGAAUUUAAAGCAAAAUCCAAUAUCAACAAGCUCUCUUUUUGCCACUAAGGAAUGAUGGUCAACCUUACACAGACAACAUUCUCGCCUUCAAGAGAAAAUCUGAAGAUGCUGGAAAUCAAAGUAACACACCCAAAAUGCUGGUGGAACUCAGCAGGCCAGGCAGUGUCUAUGGAAAAGAGUAAAUAGUCAACAUUUCAGGCCAAGACCUUUAUCAAGACUGGGUAAAAAAAAAGAGAUAAGUCAGAGUAAGAAGGUGGGGAGAGGGGAGGAAAAAGUACAAGGUGGUUGGUGAUAGUGAAACUGGGGGAGAAGACAGAACCAUGGAAGAAAGGGGAGGAAGUGGUGAUGGGCAGGUGAGAAGAUGAGAGAAAUGGUGGAAGUGGGGGCAAUAACCGGAAGUUCAAGAAGUCGAUGUUCAUGGCAACAAUCUGGAGGCUGCUCAGAUGGACUAUAAGGUGUUGUUCCCUCAACCUGUAUGUGCCAUGGACUGACAUGUUGGAAUGGGGAUGGGAAGUCAAAUUGAAACGGAGGACCACUGGGAGGUCCCACUUCUUCUAGCAGACUGAUAGGUGCUCAGCAAAGUGGUCUCCUGAUCUAUGUCGGAUCUCACCGACAUACAGGAGGCCACACCAAGAGCACCAGGCAGAUUAAGACCCCAUAGACUCACAGGUGAUAUGUCACCUCACCUGGAAGGACUGCUUGGGGCUCUGAAUGGUAGUGAGGGAGGAGGUGUAGGGGCAGGUGUGGCACUUGUUCCACUUGCAAGGCUAACUCUCCCAGUUUCACUUACCACCUACUACUUUGUACUUCUUCCUUUCCCCCCUCCCCCCCACAUUGACUUCUCAUCUCCUUUUUAUAGUCCUGAUGAAGGGUCUCCAUCCGAAACAUCGACUGUUUUCUCUUUUCCAUCAAUGCUGCCUGGCCUGCUGAGUUCCUUCAGCAUUUUGUUUGUUACAAAAGAAUUCACCUUGCAUAAUGAAUGAGUGCUGGAAAGGAGGAGUGGGAAGAUUGGGUGGAAAUGUAAUGGAAAAGCCAAGUACCUGUUGCAGGUCUCUAAUAAUUUAACUUGAGAAUAAAUAAAUAAUCAAGCAAGGUAACUGUCUGUGUCGUUCUUUCCUCUCCAGUCCCACCUACUUCAUUUUUUGCUAUUUAUUAACUGUUUAGAGGGCAUCUUAUCCAGAGCCUAUUUCAAUAGUGAAAUGAAGUGACCUGGGAUUAUCAAGCCAUAAAGGGGUGCUCACUCUCC